GGCUGAGUGGUCGAAAGCGCACGACUCGAAAUCGUGUUGGCCCAUACGGGUCACGAGGGUUCGAAUCCACCGAG
rnacentral:tRNA from 1 species